rnacentral:rRNA from 1 species
CAAUGGCGUAAACAAAGGGAUGCGAGAGUGUGAGCUUAAGCGAAACCCAAAAAUAACGUCCCAGUUCGGAUUGUAGUCUGCAACCCGACUACAUGAAGCUGGAAUCGCUAGUAAUCGCGGAUCAGAAUGCCGCGGUGAAUACGUUCCCGGGUCUUGUACACACCGCCCGUCAAGCCAUGGGAGCCGGGGGUGCCUGAAGUUCGUGACCGCAAGGAGCGACCUAAGGCAAAACUGGUGACUGGGGCUAAGUCGUAACAAGGUAGC